rnacentral:rRNA from 2 species
CAUGCAGUCGAGCGAACUGAUUAGAAGCUUGCUUCUAUGACGUUAGCGGCGGACGGGUGAGUAACACGUGGGCAACCUGCCUGUAAGACUGGGAUAACUUCGGGAAACCGAAGCUAAUACCGGAUAGGAUCUUCUCCUUCAUGGGAGAUGAUUGAAAGAUGGUUUCGGCUAUCACUUACAGAUGGGCCCGCGGUGCAUUAGCUAGUUGGUGAGGUAACGGCUCACCAAGGCAACGAUGCAUAGCCGACCUGAGAGGGUGAUCGGCCACACUGGGACUGAGACACGGCCCAGACUCCUACGGGAGGCAGCAGUAGGGAAUCUUCCGCAAUGGACGAAAGUCUGACGGAGCAACGCCGCGUGAGUGAUGAAGGCUUUCGGGUCGUAAAACUCUGUUGUUAGGGAAGAACAAGUACAAGAGUAACUGCUUGUACCUUGACGGUACCUAACCAGAAAGCCACGGCUAACUACGUGCCAGCAGCCGCGGUAAUACGUAGGUGGCAAGCGUUAUCCGGAAUUAUUGGGCGUAAAGCGCGCGCAGGCGGUUUCUUAAGUCUGAUGUGAAAGCCCACGGCUCAACCGUGGAGGGUCAUUGGAACUGGGGAACUUGAGUGCAGAAGAGAAAAGCGGAAUUCCACGUGUAGCGGUGAAAUGC